AAGCAGAGCCAGUGUGUUUGAGGCGUUUGGAACAGCUUAAUGAAGCUGGGUUCGGUGAAAUGAAAUUUUUGAAAUUUAAAAAAGGGUUUCGUUUGUCUAUUGUUUGUCCACGUUUUUUCACUUUUCCAGCUUUUCCUUGAAAUAAAUUAAAAAAACAAAUUAAAAUUGGCAUAUUUUUAAAUUUUUAAGUUUUUUUGAGUGAACAAACGAUAGACAAAAGAUUCCAUGAAACAAAUUUUGAAAAAUUAAACUUUUUGAUUUUCGAAAUUUGAUAUUUUUGAAACCAGACGUGGACAAAAAAACUAAAUGGUGGAUAAGUAUAUCCUAGUUUAAAAAGCUUGAAAACGCAGCGUUUAAUUUGUAUUUAUUUCAAUAGAAGUUAGCAAGGAUCUGCCGUCUUGAAUUUAUACUACGAUAUAGAACGCGAAAAGGAUCGUGUUACCCAAAAUACUUUAGCUGAGGCUCGACAUGUGGGAGAUUCACCAAAGUCAUGGUUGACUUUCUAACGUAACAAGUAACAAAAUCGUUGUGGACGGCAGUCAACGUAGUGACGAAACCCAUCAGGAGAGUGUCCGAAUGCGACUACCAUAUAUACACGAAGAAAUGAAAGUCUCCUGUGAUCUUCCGAUUGUUACGAGUCAUGCCUUAAUCGAAUGGUGUUGCAAGUACUAAUUGCGUGCCAAGACUUUUGUUUGGGAGAAUAAGCAAUAAAAGUGCAAAAGUGAAAAUGUUCAAAA